rnacentral:lncRNA from 1 species
AAAGCGUUCCUGGAAAUCUCAGCCCAAAAAAGGACGUUUAGUAAUUCUAAAAGGGACUACAGGAUGAAAAACAAUAGUUCUGGCAGUUAAAGUUUGAGCUUCGAUAAUGUCGUAGAUCCGUUUGGUCAUCAGGUGUAACGAGCCACACCCAUUUCUAGCUAGAGUAGUGUGCUAGGCUCAGACUAGAGAAGAAAUGGGCAACAAACUAAUGAAAGAAUGAUCAUACCGAGGGAAUUCACUCAGAACUAACAAGAAUGAUAACGUGCUCCGACUGGAGCGGUUUAGGAACUGCUGGAAGGCUCUAGGGGAAUAAAGAAGGAAUGACUUCUAAUUUUUAGGUCCGUAUGAUUUGAAAUGUGUGCACACAAACCCCGAGAAAGCAUUCCUGGAAAUCUCGGCCCAAAAAAGGACGUUUAGUAAUUCUAAAAGGGACUACAGGAUGAAAAACAAUAGUUUUGGCAGUUAAAGUUUGAGAUUCGAUAAUGCCGUAGAUCCGUUUGGUCAUCAGGUGUAACGAGCCACACCCAUGUCUGGUUAGAGUAGUGUGCUAGGCUCAGACUAGAUAAGAAACGGGGAACAAACUGAUGAAAGAAUGAUCAUACCGAGCGAAUUCACUCAGAACUAACAAGAAUGAUAACAUGCUCCGACUGGAGCGGUUUAGGAACUGCUGGAAGGCUCUAGGGGAAUAAAGAUGGAAUGACUUCUAAUUUUUAGGUCCGUAUGAUUUGAAAUACUUGCACACAAACCACGCGAAAGCGUUCCUGGAAAUCUCAGCCCAAAAAAGGACGUUUAGUAAUUCUAAAAGGGACUACAGGAUGAAAAACAAUAGUUUUGGCAGUUAAAGUUUGAGAUUCGACAGUGCCGUAGAUCCGUUUGGUCAUCAGGUAUUACGAGCCACACCCAUGUCUAGCUAGAAUAGUGUGCUAGGCUCAGGCUAGAGAAGAAACGGGGAACAAACUGAUGAAAGAAUGAUCAAACCGAGGGAAUUCACUCAGAACUAACAAUAAUGAUAACGUGCUCCGACUGGUGCGGUUUAGGAACUGCUGGAAGGCUCUAGGGGAAUAAAGAUGGAAUGACUUCUAAUUUUUAGGUCCGUAUGAUUUGAAAUACUUGCACACAAACCGCGCGAAAGCGUUCCUGGAAAUCUCAGCCCAAAAAAGGACGUUUAGUAAUUUUAAAAGGGACUAUAGGAUGAAAAACAAUAGUUUUGGCAAUUAAAGUUUGAGAUUCGACGGUGUCGUAGAUCCGUUUGGUCAUCAGGUGUUACGAGCCACACCCAUGUCUAGCUAGAAUAGUAUGUCAGGCUCAGGUUAGAGUAGAAACGGGGAACAAACUGAUGAAAGAAUGAUCAUACCAAGGGAAUUCACUCAGAACUAUCAAGAAUGAUAACGUGCUCCGACUGGAGUGAUUUAGGAACUGCUGGAAGGCUCUAGGGGAAUAAAGAUGGAAUGACUUCUAAUUUUUACGUCCGUAUGAUUUGAAAUACUUGCACACAAAUCACGCAAAAGCGUUCCUGGAAAUCUCAGCCUAAAAAAGGACGUUUAGUAAUUCUAAAAGGGACUACAGGAUGAAAAACAAUAGUUUGGGCAGUUAAAAUUUGAGAUUCGACGGUGCCGUAGAUCCGUUUGGUCAUCAGGUGUUACGAGCGACACCCUUGUCUAGCUAGAAUAGUGUGUUAGGCUCAGACUAGAGAAGAAACGGGGAACAAAGUGAUGAAAGAAUGAUCAUACCGAGGGAAUUCACUCAGAACUAACAAGAAUGAUAACGUGCUCCGACUGGAGCGGUUUAGUAACUGCUGGAAGGCUCUAGGGGAAUGAAGAUGGAAUGACUUCUAAUUUUUAGGUCCGUAUGAUUUGAAAUACAUGCACACAAACCCUGAGAAAGCGUUCCUGGAAAUCUCGGUCGAAAAAAGGAUGUUUAAUAAUUCUAAAAGGGACUACCGGAUGAAAAACAAUAGUUUUGGCAGUUAAAGUUUGUGAUUCGAUGGUGCCGUAGAUCUGUUUGGUCAUCAGGUGUUACGAGCCACACCCAUGUCUAUCUAGAAUAGUGUGUUAGGCUCAGGCUAGAGCAGAAACGGGGAACAGACUUAUGAAAGAAUGAUCAUACCGAGGGAAUUCACUCAGAACUAACAAGAAUGAUAACGUGCUCCGACUGGCGCGGUUUAGGAACUGCUGGAAGGCUCUAGGGGAAUAAAGAUGGAAAGACUUCUAAUUUUUAGGUCCGUAUGAUUUGAAAUACUUGCACACAAACCGCACGAAAGCGUUCCUGGAAAUCUCAGCCUAAAAAGGAUGUUUAGUAAUUCUAAAAGGGACUACAAGAUGAAAAAUAAUAGUUUGGGCAGUUAAAAUUUGAGAUUCGACGAUGCCGUAGAUCCGUUUGGUCAUCAGGUGUUAUGAGCCACACCCAUGUCUAGCUAGAAUAGUGUGUUAGGCUCAGGCUAGAGAAGAAACGGGGAACAAACUGAUGAAAGAAUGAUCAUACCGAGGGAAUUCACUCAGAACUAACAAGAAUGAUAACGUGCUCCGACUGGAGCAGUUUAGAAACUGCUGGAAGGCUCUAAUGGAAUAAAGAUGGAAUGCCUUCAAAUUUCUAGGUCCGUAUGAUUUGAAAUACUUGCACACAAACCGCUCGAAAGCGUUCCUGGAAAUCUCAGCCCAAAAAAGGACGUUUAGUAAUUCUAAAAGGGACUACAGGAUGAAAAACAAUAGUUUUGGCAGUUAAAGUUUGAGAUUCGAUGGUGCCGUAGAUCCGUUUGGUCAUCAGGUGUAACGAGCCACACACAUGUCUAGCUAGAGUAGUGUGCUAGGCUCAGACUAGAGAAGAAACGGGGAACAAAGUGAUGAAAGAAUGAUCAUACCGAGGGAAUUCACUCAGAACUUACAAGAAUGAUAACGUGCUCCGACUGGAGCGCUUUAGUAACUGCUGGAAGGCUCUAGGCGAAUAAAGAUGGAAUGACUUCUAAUUUUUAGGUCCGUAUGAUUUGAAAUACUUGCACACAAACCACGCAAAACCGUUCCUAGAAAUCUCGGUCGAAAAAAGGACGUUUAGUAAUUCUAAAAGGGACUACAGGAUGAAAAACAAUAGUUUUGGCAGUUAAAGUUUGAGAUUCGAUGGUGCCGUAGAUCCGUUUGGUCAUCAGGUGUUACGAGCCACACCCAUGUCUAGCUAGAGUAGUGUGCUAGGUUCAGACUAGAGAAGAAACGGGGAACAAA